rnacentral:ncRNA from 2 species
CGCUCAUCCAGAGGGGCAGAGGGACACGGCCCGUUGAAGCCCCGGCAACCCUCCAGUCGGUUCUCGCCUGCUUGCGGCAGCGGGGUCCCCGGCUAGGGAAGGUGCCAAUUCCGUCUCAUGGCGAAGUGCGCCAUGGGGAAGAUGAGGA